rnacentral:rRNA from 1 species
AUGUUAGCGGCGGACGGGUGAGUAACACGUGGGUAACCUGCCUGUAAGACUGGGAUAACUCCGGGAAACCGGGGCUAAUACCGGAUGGUUGUUUGAACCGCAUGGUUCAGACAUAAAAGGUGGCUUCGGCUACCACUUACAGAUGGACCCGCGGCGCAUUAGCUAGUUGGUGAGGUAACGGCUCACCAAGGCGACGAUGCGUAGCCGACCUGAGAGGUGAUCGGCCACACUGGGACUGAGACACGGCCCAGACUCCUACGGGAGGCAGCAGUAGGGAUCUUCCGCAAUGGACGAAAGUCUGACGGAGCAACGCCGCGUGAGUGAUGAAGGUUUCGGAUCGUAAAGCUCUGUUGUUAGGGAAGAACAAGUGCCGUUCAAAUAGGGCGGCACCUUGACGGUACCUAACCAGAAGCCACGGCUAACUACGUGCCAGCAGCCGCGGUAUACGUAGGUGGCAAGCGUUGUCCGGAAUUAUUGGGCGUAAAGGGCUCGCAGGCGGUUCUUAAGUCUGAUGUGAAAGCCCCGGCUCAACCGGGAGGGUCAUUGGAACUGGGAACUUGAGUGCAGAAGAGGAGAGUGAAUUCCACGUGUAGCGUGAAUGCGUAGAGAUGUGGAGGACACCAGUGCGAAGGCGACUCUCUGGUCUGUACUGACGCUGAGAGCGAAGCGUGGAGCGACAGGAUAGAUACCUGGUAGUCACGCGAAACGAUGAUGCUAGUGUAGGGUUCCGCCCUAGUGCUGCAGCUACGC